rnacentral:misc_RNA from 1 species
UCGCCUUCAUGACCCUGCUGACCCAACCCAGAAGUUGAAAGCUUCAUCUUCCACUUUCUUUUUUCUCUUUGGUUUUCUAUAUAUAUUUACGUAUAAAUUGUCUUAAUUGAUAAAAAUAUUAGCUAUAUAAAACCCUCACUCACAACUACCAUUGUAAUAAUAGUAAUCAUCUUCCAAUCCAACAAAAAACCCUUGCAUUCUCUCAUCUCUUCACACUUCUCUCUCCUAAAUUCACACUCUAUUAAUUACAAGCACUCAAUAGAAAAAAUAGGGAAAAAAAAAAGAAAAAUAAAACUAACAAUUAGACAGUGCACUUGAAGCUUCAAAACCCUAAACACGUAAAACCCUAACAAAGCAAACAAAUUUGAAAUCAGAUCAAAC